UAGAUUGACGCUGGCGGCAGGCUUAACACAUGCAAGUCGAGCGGUAACAGGUCCAGCUUGCUGGAUGCUGACGAGCGGCGGACGGGUGAGUAAUGCAUAGGAAACUGCCCAAUAGUGGGGGAUAGCCCGGGGAAACCCGGAUUAAUACCGCAUACGUCCUACGGGAGAAAGCAGGGGCUCUUCGGACCUUGCGCUAUUGGAUGUGCCUAUGUCGGAUUAGCUAGUUGGUGGGGUAAAGGCCUACCAAGGCGACGAUCCGUAGCUGGUCUGAGAGGAUGAUCAGCCACAUCGGGACUGAGACACGGCCCGAACUCCUACGGGAGGCAGCAGUGGGGAAUAUUGGACAAUGGGGGCAACCCUGAUCCAGCCAUGCCGCGUGUGUGAAGAAGGCUUUCGGGUUGUAAAGCACUUUCAGUGAGGAGGAAAACCUUAUGGUUAAUACCCAUGAGGCUUGACGUUACUCACAGAAGAAGCACCGGCUAACUCCGUGCCAGCCGCCGCGGUAAUAC
rnacentral:rRNA from 1 species